UUUCCGUAGGUGAACCUGCGGAAGGAUCAUUACCGAGUUAGGGUGUCGUCAGCGCCCGACCUCCAAACCUUUGUCUACCUGACCCUUUGUUGCUUCGGCAGGCCCGCUGACCCUCCCUUCACGGGGAGAGCCGGCCGCCGGGGGCCCUCAUCGGCUCCGGGCCCGCGCCUGUCGACGGCCAUCAUUAAAAACACUAGUUAAAAAUCAUGUCGUCUGAGUAAACAAACAAAAUUAAAACAAAACUUUCAACAACGGAUCUCUUGGUUCUGGCAUCGAUGAAGAACGCAGC
rnacentral:misc_RNA from 1 species